rnacentral:rRNA from 1 species
UAGUCAUAUGCUUGUCUCAAAGACUAAGCCAUGCAUGUCUAAGUAUAAAUGGUAUACAGUGAAACUGAGAAUGGCUCAUUAAAACAGUUAUAGUUUAUUUGGUAAUCGAAUUUACAUGGAUUACCGUGGUAAUUCUAGAGCUAAUACAUGCUGUAAGCCCGACUUUUCGGAAGGGCCGUAUUUAUUAGAUAACAGACCAAUGCCCCCCCGGGCUUUGUGGUGACUCAUAGUAACUAAUCGGAUCGCAUGGGCCUGUCCCGCGACAAACCAUUCAAGUUUCUGCCCCAUCAGCUUUCGAUGGUAGCGUAUUGGACUACCAUGGCUUUUACGGGUAACGGAGGAUUAGGGUUCGAUUCCGGAGAGGGAGCCUGAGAAACGGCUACCACAUCUAAGGAAGGCAGCAGGCGCGUAAAUUACCCAAUCCUAAUUCAGGGAGGUAGUGACAAGAAAUAAUGGGUCGGAACUAACGUUCCGGGACCGCAAUGAGAUGAAUUUACACCCCUUUUCGGGGAUCAAUU